rnacentral:rRNA from 1 species
GUGAACGCUGGCGGCAGGCCUAACACAUGCAAGUCGAGCGGCAGCGCGGGGGCAACCCUGGCGGCGAGCGGCGGACGGGUGAGGAAUUCGUCGGAAUCUGCCUUUUUGUGGGGGAUAACGUAGGGAAACUUACGCUAAUACCGCAUACGUCCUACGGGAGAAAGUGGGGGACCGCAAGGCCUCACGCAGAAAGAUGAGCCGACGACCGAUUAGCUAGUUGGUGGGGUAAAGGCCCACCAAGGCGACGAUCGGUAGCUGGUCUGAGAGGAUGAUCAGCCACACUGGGACUGAGACACGGCCCAGACUCCUACGGGAGGCAGCAGUGGGGAAUAUUGGACAAUGGGCGCAAGCCUGAUCCAGCCGUGCCGCGUGUGUGAAGAAGGCCUUCGGGUUGUAAAGCACUUUUGUCCGGAAAGAAAUCCCUGGAGCUAAUACCUUCGGGGGAUGACGGUACCGGAAGAAUAAGCACCGGCUAACUUCGUG